AAGAAAGUAGGAAUUUUAUUUUUGCACAGCGCUGAGCAAGGAGAGAGGGCAGCUAACGCUCAAAUCCCAAACUCCCCGAAAAGCUAAAAGGAAGGGUUUUUAUUUGGGGUUUUAGGGAGGGGAGGGGGAGCGUAUGGCCUUGCUGGUCGGAGCUUUCCCACCAGCCUGUCUUUGGUCUUGAGACUACUUGCAGAGAGAGGGAACUCAUGACCUUGCUGGUCAGCAGCUUUCCCACCAGCCCAUAUCUCUUUGCGGGAGGAGAUAGUCCAGGUGCUUGUCCUUGAUGGUGUCUGUCUCCAUGGAGGAUAGUGGAUUCUGGAGCCAGGAAGCCAGAGAUUUUCAUACAGGCUCGGGGUUUUAAAACUUUGAAAUCAAGGACGUCUGCAGUCUACCUCUGAAAGAUUAGCAGAAACACAGCAUAUAGCACCAUCAUUCGUGAAGAUUCUCUAAGAUGAACCCAUCUGAUUCUCUUUGUUCUGCUGCUAUUUGGCAUUUACGGACUCUUAAAAAACCCAUUUUUAUCUGAUUGUCUUGUAACUUAAAGACGUGUCGCUAUUGAACGUGUUCGAGCAGAGGCUGGACAUCGUCUUUGAGGAAGGUUUUGGGAGAAAUUCUUCCUGCAGGAGGGGCUUGAAAGCCAUGACUUUGAGGACUCUUCCAACUCUGAAGAGGCUGGUUAGUUGAAGUAGCUGUGAACCCUGCUGGGAUUGUGAAAAGGGAGCAGUAGAGGAAGAGGCUGGUGCAGUGACUAUUUGAAAGCUAGACACAUCAGUGCGGAGGGCCCUUCUCGUUCUGUCUGAGGGCUGCAGUCAGAGAGCCUGCUUACGUUGAGCUUGCACUAAGGCCGUGGUCAGCGAGGCGUCCUUACUCUCUCCCUGCGGUGUAUGUACUUCAUUACUCAGUACACCACAUUUCUUUUCGGAUGAGGCCAUUUGGAGUGCAAAAUUAGAGAAGAUGUGUUGACACCCAAACGUUAGGAAACGGGGACAUCACAAGGUGGAUCCUCACACAGUUUCCCGUGAUAAUAUGAAUAAAUGUUAUAAUUGCUGUAAAAUCUAAGUUUAUGUGGAGCAAAGUAUUUCAGUAGCAUUUACCAUAAUAGUAUGCCGUCUUUCACCAGGUCUUAAAGAGCUUGUGUAAGAAUGUUAUUUCCUUGCCCAGAAUUCCUGAACAUGUAGGGUUACUUGUAUAUGGAGCCACUGUGGAAACAUUCAUAAGGGCGUUGAUAACUUCACUCACUGCCUUGAUCCUCGUAACCCUACUCUCCUCCAUAGGUUUUAUAUUCCUUAACUGGGAAUUCUCUUGCCACAGAGGUUGGGAAGAGAAAAUGUAUUUUGAAUGGUCGAUGAUGUUUAAUUUCUUUCCUGUUUUCGUCCAAUUUUAAGUUAUCCAUUACCUUGACCAAAUGUAUGUUGGUUUUCUUUUAGUGUAUGGAUCUCUUCAAAUAUUAAAAAAAUUUUUUUGAUAAUCUGUUCAACUCUUUUUUUACACAUAAAUUUUACUGAAGCUUAACAGUCACACAAAAAUGCACACAUCGUAAAUGUACACCUCAAUAAAUUUUCGCACACGGCUUUGAACACAUCUAUGUUGUCAGCACCCAGCUCAGGAAACAGAACGCCAGGGCCUGCCUAGUGCCUCUUUCCAGUCACCAUCUCUCCCCACCCCAAGGGUGAGCACUGUCCUGUCUAAUACCGUAGGUUAGUUUGGGCGGUUUUUGAAUUUUAUAUAAAUGUGACGCAUGUAGUAUGUACGAUUUCUUUCGUCAACGUAUUUGUGAGAUCCAUCCGUGUUGUUACAUGGAGCGGUAGUUCAUUCAUCCUCAUUGCAUAGUGUUCUAUUCCACGAACACCACGAUACUGUGUGUUUAUUCCACAUUAGGUAGACAUGUGGUUGUGUCUAGUUUUAGCUAAAAUGGUCCUGCUGUGAAUGUUGUUGUACAGAUCUCUUGGUGAGCGUAUGAACACACUUCUCUUGUGCCUGGGAGUGGACAAAGCUUUGCUUUUAACCAUUAACUUUAUAAACAUUUUUAGUAAAUUUUAAUAAUUUAAUCAGAAUAACUUUAAAGACCAUUUCAAGACUAAAAAAACACCUACUUACUCUGUAUCACUUGUAUAUUUCCUGGAAAUAGUCCUGGGAAAUUUUCUAGAAAUCUAAGAUAGUCACGAGUUUAAUUUUAGAUUAUCAGAAUGCCCUUUGGCCCAGAGAUCUGUUUCAUGUUUUACUACACUCCUUCCCAGGUAGUUUUUUUAACCCUGCCCGAUGUACUUCAGGUCAUUUUUGUCACUUAGAGCUAUUUAAAGUUGUCUAUUGUGAGGUUGCACAUUGACUGCCAGUGAGCUAAGUGGAUUAACAAAUGUAUUAUUGGCCUAAUGUAACUUAA
rnacentral:lncRNA from 1 species